GACGAACGCUGGCGGCGUGCUUAACACAUGCAAGUCAAACGGAAAGGCCCUGCUUUUGUGGGGUGCUCGAGUGGCGAACGGGUGAGUAACACGUGAGUAACCUGCCCUUGACUUUGGGAUAACUUCAGGAAACUGGGGCUAAUACCGGAUAGGAGCUCCUGCUGCAUGGUGGGGGUUGGAAAGUUUCGGCGGUUGGGGAUGGACUCGCGGCUUAUCAGCUUGUUGGUGGGGUAGUGGCUUACCAAGGCUUUGACGGGUAGCCGGCCUGAGAGGGUGACCGGCCACAUUGGGACUGAGAUACGGCCCAGACUCCUACGGGAGGCAGCAGUGGGGAAUAUUGCACAAUGGGCGGAAGCCUGAUGCAGCAACGCCGCGUGCGGGAUGACGGCCUUCGGGUGGUAAACCGCUUUCGCCUGUGACGAAGCGUGAGUGACGGUAAUGGGUAAAGAAGCACCGGCUAACUACGU
rnacentral:rRNA from 1 species